rnacentral:rRNA from 1 species
AUACGUAGGUGGCAAGCGUUGUCCGGAAUUAUUGGGCGUAAAGCGCGCGCAGGUGGUUCCUUAAGUCUGAUGUGAAAGCCCCCGGCUCAACCGGGGAGGGUCAUUGGAAACUGGGGAACUUGAGUGCAGAAGAGGAUAGUGGAAUUCCAAGUGUAGCGGUGAAAUGCGUAGAGAUUUGGAGGAACACCAGUGGCGAAGGCGACUGUCUGGUCUGUAUCUGACACUGAGGCGCGAAAGCGUGGGGAGCAAACAGGAUUAGAUUCCCUGGUAGUCCACGCCGUAAACGAUGAUUGCUAAGUGUUGGGGGGUUUCCGCCCCUCAGUGCUGCAGCUAACGCAUUAAGCGCUCCGCCUGGGGAGUACGGUCGCAAGACUGAAACUCAAAUGAAUUGGCGGG